rnacentral:tRNA from 1 species
GGAGAGGUAGCGAAGCGGCCGUAACGCGCCCGACUCGAAAUCGGGUUACCGUCGAGAGGCGGUACGUGGGUUCGAAUCCCACCCUCUCCGCCA